GAUGAACGCUAGCUAACAGGCUUAACACAUGCAAGUCGAGGGGAAACGACAUCGAAAGCUUGCUUUGAUGGGCGUCGACCGGCGCACGGGUGAGUAACGCGUAUCCAACCUGCCCACCACUUGGGGAUAACCUUGCGAAAGUAAGACUAAUACCCAAUGACGUCUCUAGAAGACAUCUGAAAGGGAUUAAAGAUUUAUCGGUGAUGGAUGGGGAUGCGUCUGAUUAGCUUGUUGGCGGGGUAACGGCCCACCAAGGCGACGAUCAGUAGGGGUUCUGAGAGGAAGGUCCCCCACAUUGGAACUGAGACACGGUCCAAACUCCUACGGGAGGCAGCAGUGAGGAAUAUUGGUCAAUGGGCGAGAGCCUGAACCAGCCAAGUAGCGUGCAGGAUGACGGCCCUAUGGGUUGUAAACUGCUUUUAUAAGGGAAUAAAGUGAGCCUCGUGAGGCUUUUUGCAUGUACCUUAUGAAUAAGGACCGGCUAAUUCCGUG
rnacentral:rRNA from 1 species